AGCCUUUGUAGCUCAGUGGUAGAGCAUUUUCUUGGUAAGAAAAAUGUCACGAGUUCGAUUCUCGUCAUAGGCUA
rnacentral:tRNA from 1 species